GUGCUCACUUCCGCAGCACAAACACUAAAAUUGGAACAAUAUAGAGAAGAUUAGCAUGGCUCCUGCCCAAAAAUGACAUACAAAUUCAUGAAGCUUUCCAUCAGUUU
ensembl:snRNA U6 U6 spliceosomal RNA